CGCGUGGUGUCUGGCGAAAGGCUGGAAGGGCGACGCGGCCUAACUUAAGGU
rnacentral:ncRNA from 1 species